rnacentral:rRNA from 1 species
UACGUAUGUCGCAAGCGUUAUCCGGAUUUAUUGGGCGUAAAGCGCGUCUAGGCGGUUUGGUAAGUCUGAUGUGAAAAUGCGGGGCUCAACUCCGUAUUGCGUUGGAAACUGUCAAACUAGAGUACUGGAGAGGUAGGCGGAACUACAAGUGUAGAGGUGAAAUUCGUAGAUAUUUGUAGGAAUGCCGAUGGGGAAGCCAGCCUACUGGACAGAUACUGACGCUAAAGCGCGAAAGCGUGGGUAGCAAACAGG